GAACGUGAAGGUAAUCUGGCUGCAACAGCUGUCACCCCUUGAUCGCCAGGGUUGAUUUGGCCGACCUUGCUGGCCAGGUAGGUAUCACCUUCCUCCCUCACCGCUCCUAGUGCAUCCCUCCCAAAGCUGCGACAAGCUCCAAGGAAAACCCUGUCUCAAUUUUUUUUUUUUAAGAGAGAGUGAGAGGGUGGGAGGGAAGGAGGGA
rnacentral:snRNA from 1 species